AGGAUUUUAAGUUAAAAAAACUGAAGAUUUUCAAAGUCUUUAAUAAAUAAUAUAUGUUUAAAUCUUG
rnacentral:tRNA from 1 species